rnacentral:tRNA from 1 species
UGGGGUGGUGGCGCAGUUGGCUAGCGCGUAGGUCUCAUAAUCCUGAGGUCGAGAGUUCAAGCCUCUCUCACCCCAA